rnacentral:rRNA from 1 species
UACGGAGGGUGCGAGCGUUGUCCGGAAUCAUUGGGCGUAAAGCGCGCGUAGGCGGCUCGGAAAGUCGGGCGUGAAAUGCCGGGGCUCAACCCCGGGACUGCGUCCGAUACUUCCGAGCUGGAGGUAGGUAGGGGAGAUCGGAAUUCCUGGUGUAGCGGUGAAAUGCGCAGAUAUCAGGAGGAACACCGGUGGCGAAGGCGGAUCUCUGGGCCGUACCUGACGCUGAGGCGCGAAAGCUAGGGGAGCGAACAGG